rnacentral:misc_RNA from 1 species
UUAUUGAGAAUGGCGAACUAUAAUGCAGUGGACGAAGAGGCAAAAGUGAAAAAUAAAAGGAAAAGGGUGAUCGUGUUCACUUUCAUUGCUGUGAUUUUGGUGUGUGCCAUUGCGGCACCUAUAAUUAUUAGCCAAUCGAAGCCACAGUACCAGUACAAGCAUACCGGGUUGCCGCAGCAGCAGCUGACGUCGCAAAAUGACGUCAUGGUCGACUGUUCCGGAAGAAAAGGAACCGAGAGUGAAUGUAAACAAAACGGAUGUAUUUGGCAAAGAACAAAAAAUCCAAGGGCCCCACCUUGCAUAUAUCCCAAAACCAUGGGAUAUCAAAUUGAAGGACAAGUGAGGAGUACGGACCAAUCGCAUCAGUUCUCCAUUCGACAGAAACUCAAUAAAACUAUCUUUGACACAGACAUCCAUCAGCUGGUCGACGUCAGAGUGGAUAUGUACAGUCCGAAAAGUCUCAGAAUUAAGUUUAUGCCAAAUGGUACAGCAAAGCCGUUUGAAAUACCGGAGGAGGCCAUAGCCGUGAACGACGAAUACCAGGCAGGGGAGAGACUGUACAACGUCACCAUUCAACGGGGGCCAGUGUUCGGCAUCAUUGUCACCAGGCGGUCUACAGGGACGGUGGUAUUCAAUUCGUCAGUUCCUGGCCUCAUGCUGUCCGAACAGUUCCUCCAAAUAACCAACCGCCUUCCCUCGGGAAACCUGUACGGAUUCGGAGAACACAAUCACCAGCGAUUCAAGCACGACUUGAACUGGAAAACAUGGCCGAUGUUUACACGUGACACCACUCCCACUGAUGAUUGGAACUUGUAUGGGUCGCACCCCGUGUACAUGAAUGUCGAGAGGGACGGCAAUGCUAACAUGGUGUUUCUCAGGAACAGCAACGGAAUGGAUAUCCAAGUUCAGCCCGAGCCUUUCCCCGCGGUCACUUACCGCGUCAUUGGAGGGGUGCUGGAUUUCUUUGUAUUUUUGGGCCCAACACCUGGUGAAGCUGUUCAACAAUAUGUAAAGACAGUUGGUAUGCCGGUUAUGCCCCCAUAUUGGUCGCUAGGGUUCCACUUAUGUCGCUAUGGUUACAAAAAUCUAGCGGAAAUGAAGAGUGUACGGCAAAGGAAUAUUGACGCAGGGAUUCCGUUUGACACCCAGUGGGCCGAUAUAGAUUACAUGUAUAGGAAGUUUGAUUUCACCUACGACAGGGUUAAAUUUAGUCAGUUCCCAGAUUUUACGAACGAGCUGCACAACAGUGGACAGAAAUUGGUGGUCAUUGUGGAUCCUGGCGUAGGCGCCAAUCAGAAUAUUUACAAAGAGGCUCAGAAGAACAGUCCCGGCUAUGAUAUGUACAAUGACGGACAAAGGAGGGACAUCUUCAUAAAGAUGAAUGGCUCAGAGCUCCAGGGACAGGUUUGGCCUGGUCUUACAGUUUUCCCAGAUUUUACCAACUUGAAGAACACUACGGAAUUUUGGAAGUACUGGAUUCGGUACUUUAUGCAAAACGAAACAAUACACGCAGAUGGACUAUGGAUUGACAUGAAUGAACCAUCAAAUUUUGUUGCUGGAUCCCAACGAGGUUGCCAAAGAAACAGGUGGAACAACCCGCCAUAUGUGAUGCCCAUUUUGGAAGGAGAGAAAGAUAACGGAAGUCUCUAUUAUCAGACGAUCUGUAUGGACGCCGAGCAGCACUGGGGGAAGCACUACAACGUUCACAAUCUGUAUGGGCACAGUGAGAGUAUGGUCACCAAUAGAGCUUUACGGGAAUUAUUUCCGGGAAAGAGGCCGUUUAUCCUGACCCGAUCAACGUUUUCCGGAACCUCGGCGUACGCUGCCAAGUGGCUGGGGGACAACCGGAGCCAGUGGUCCGAUAUGCACUGGUCCAUCGUCGGUCUUUUGGAAUUCAGCAUAUUUGGAUUUCCAAUGAUUGGAGCCGAUAUUUGCGGCUUUAACGGAAAUGCCACAUACGAGAUGUGCUUAAGAUGGCAUCAGUUAGGUGCAUUCUACCCAUUCUCCAGAAACCACAAUGGAAUUUAUCAAACGUCACAGGAUCCUGGAGCUUGGAACCAGACUUUUACUUCCAACGUUCGACGUCACCUAAGCUUGCGAUACAAGCUACUGCCAUACACGUACACCUUGUUCAAAGAGGCCCACGUCAAGGGCACCACUGUUGUAAGGCCGCUUAUGUUCGAGUUCCCUGCAGACAGCCAUACCUGGGAUAUAGACAACCAGUUUCUACUGGGCUCCUCAUUGCUGAUAUCUCCGGUGCUGCAGGAGAACGUGAGACAGAUCCAAGCGUACUUUCCCAAGGGAAGGUGGUUCGACUACUACAAGGGGGUCGAAAUCCCAGGGCCUGAAUAUGGUAGGAACGUAACACUGAACGCCCCUCUGUCGAACUUUAACCUCCAUCUCCGCGGCGGGAACAUCAUCCCGGUCCAAAAGCCAGGCAACACGACAAAAACAAGCCGUUUAAAUCCGAUGGGACUUUUAGUUGCACUGAAUGAAAAUUUGGAGGCGUUCGGAACCCUCUUCCUGGAUGAUGGGGAAAGUGACUAUUCCUUUCAAAAUGGAAUUUACUUAGAACUUCAGUUUCAUUUUUACGGGGGUGAGAGGCUCGACAUUAACGUUGUACACAACAAGUUUACCCCCGCCGGGAACUUGACGUUCAACACCAUAGAUAUUUACGGUUUACACAGACACCCAAGUGACGUCAUAGUUGACGGAAGUCAUAUAAAGAGCGCGUCCCAAAUAUCUAACAUUAUCCGCCUUUCUGGUUUUCAACUUGACGUAACUAAUAACCAUACGAUUACGCUAGAAAUGGAUAAAAGAUGAUUAGCUGGACAAAAUAAAUAGAUGUAUCAUAUUCUUUUUUAUGAAACCACGCUUACUUUUUUUUUAACAGAAGAGAUGGAAAGACAACUCUACUGAACAAAUGUAGUUGCAAAAUGACUUUUGUGGUUAUCUUUCCUUGUAGAUUCCACUGGAGUAAUAAAAAUAAUACAAUUC